rnacentral:rRNA from 1 species
ACCAAGGCUACGAUGGGUAGGGGUCCUGAGAGGGAGAUCCCCCACACUGGUACUGAGACACGGACCAGACUCCUACGGGAGGCAGCAGUGAGGAAUAUUGGUCAAUGGGCGCAAGCCUGAACCAGCCAUGCCGCGUGCAGGAUGACGGUCCUAUGGAUUGUAAACUGCUUUUGUACGAGAAGAAACACUACUUCGUGAAGUAGCUUGACGGUAUCGUAAGAAUAAGGAUCGGCUAACUCCGUGCCAGCAGCCGCGGUAAUACGGAGGAUCCAAGCGUUAUCCGGAAUCAUUGGGUUUAAAGGGUCCGUAGGCGGUCUUAUAAGUCAGUGGUGAAAUCUCCCCGCUCAACGGGGAAACUGCCAUUGAUACUGUAGGACUUGAAUAAUUAGGAAGUAACUAGAAUAUGUAGUGUAGCGGUGAAAUGCUUAGAGAUUACAUGGAAUACCAAUUGCGAAGGCAGGUUACUACUAAUUCAUUGACGCUGAUGGACGAAAGCGUGGGUAGCGAACAGGAUUAGAUACCCUGGUAGUCCACGCCGUAAACGAUGGAUACUAGCUGUUGGGGGCAACUUCAGUGGCUAAGCGAAAGUGAUAAGUAUCCCACCUGGGGAGUACGAACGCAAGUUUGAAACUCAAAGGAAUUGACGGGGGCCCGCACAAGCGGUGGAGCAUGUGGUUUAAUUCGAUGAUACGCGAGGAACCUUACCAAGGCUUAAAUGUAGAUUGACCGUUUUGGAAACAGAACUUUCGCAAGACAAUUUACAAGGUGCUGCAUGGUUGUCGUCAGCUCGUGCCGUGAGGUGUCAGGUUAAGUCCUAUAACGAGCGCAACCCCUGUUGUUAGUUGCCAUCGAGUCAUGUCGGGAACUCUAACGAGACUGCCAGUGCAAACUGUGAGGAAGGUGGGGAUGACGUCAAAUCAUCACG